rnacentral:rRNA from 1 species
UACGUAGGGUGCGAGCGUUGUCCGGAAUUACUGGGCGUAAAGAGCUCGUAGGUGGUUUGUCGCGUCGUCUGUGAAAUUCCGGGGCUUAACUUCGGACGUGCAGGCGAUACGGGCAAUACUUGAGUGCUGUAGGGGAGACUGGAAUUCCUGGUGUAGCGGUGGAAUGCGCAGAUAUCAGGAGGAACACCGAUGGCGAAGGCAGGUCUCUGGGCAGUAACUGACGCUGAGGAGCGAAAGCAUGGGUAGCGAACAGGAUUAGA